AAGUCAGGGCCACAGCGCUUCUGGUCCCCGAGACGUAGGGCUCCCGGGCUUCUGAGCGGCUCGGGUUCCGCGCUGCCGGCAGGGCUUCGGGGCUCCUUAGAGCCGGACCCUGUUUUUUUAGGAAAGGGCGCUGCGACCACCCCCGUCCCGGGCCUCAGCCCCUCUGCUGCAGACCCUCGGGAUCGUCGCUGGUAGGAGCUCUGUCGCCCGUGUCUGUGUCCAGGACCCCCGAAGCGCCGCGCCUAGGAACCCCCUAGCGCUGGGAGCCCGGCCCUGCUCGACCACGGGCUUUGGGCUGGAGGCAUCAUCGUCGCCACAGCGAACGCUUAUUUGGCACCGAGUGUGCGCCAGGCAUCGUUGUAAGCGCUUUAUACCCAUAACUGUUUUCAUCUCAGCCACCUGGUUCAGUAGAAGCCUUUCAUCCGCGUUUUACAGACGUGUGCAGGAAAGAUUCUGGAGCUCGGCCGAGAGGGAUGUGUGAGUGGAGACCAGUGAAGUAACAGUUUUUGUGUUACGAUGAUUUCUGUUUUCCUCUGCUGCCCUGUAAUGGCAGGAACUCGGAUAGUCUGGUCUUCAGACCAGGAGGUCUCCCAGGAGAGAAUGGAGAGCCAGCAUGCUGUGUGUCACGGUCCCUGGAUGAACGUUUGUGGAACUGGAUUGAAUUAAACAAGACGUGCAAAGCAAGUGGUUCACGAGAUUCGAUUGCUGUAGGGACCCCGUGGGUGUGGAAUUAGAUUAUUGGUCCUUUCAUGACUGGCUUAUUUCACAGAGCCCGAUGCCGUCGAGGUCCAUCCAUGCUGAGAUAUUUACGGAGCAUCCCCAGCUGCUGGGUGCUGGGACCCACCAGUGGGCAGGAGGGCCGUGCCCACCCCUUCCUGGAAAAGACAUUCACCAGGUAAAUGCAGAGAUUCAGCAUUGGGGUGACCCCAGCACACAGUCCUGAGGGAGGAAGCACAGUGAUUUGAUCGGAUUUGCUUUUCUCUUCCGUUUCGGAUUCCGUCCAACCCUUGAAGGACCUCUGAGGUGCCCCGUGGCUGGUUCUAGGCCCUAUUCAAGCCUCCUCCUCCAGAAAGCCUUCCCAGUCCUGGGCAUCUGUAGCCAGCUCGGCCUUUCUCACCUGGGGCCUGGAACAUCUCCCAUUCUGAACUGCUGUGUUUUGGGUUUACUGUUCUCUGGCUUUUGGUCCCAGGCAGACGGUGGCCUCUUGUGUUCAGGGACAAGGCGAAGAGCAUCCAUGCACCCCCACAGUACCCAGGCUAGGGUCUGUGCCUGCCAGGCCCCCGGCAAAGCCUGGAUGAUUAGGGCUGGGCUGCUCUCCUGCCUCUGUCCUGUCUCUGGCCUCUCCGUAUCAGCUGGUGGUCAUCCCGCCCUGCACCCGUCAUCCCGCCCUGCACCCAUCAUCCCGCCCUGCACCCGUCAUCCCGCCCUGCACGCCCCACCACGUGGAUGAGCUCCCUGGGGAGUUAAUGGCUAAUGGAGUCUCCGCUCUCUCUUGUCAAAUGCAGCCAUCAUCAGCUGGUGCUUUAAGGGACCCUCUCCCGUCCCCACCCUAUUCUCAGGUGGCUCCUACCCACACCACCUAAUGGUGAACCCCAACACGGGGACACAGGCAAUGCCUUCCCAGCACCACUGUGGGUGCCACCAGGCACGACUUCCUAAACACCCACAGAGCAAUACCUGGAAAUUCAGCUGAGGCAUUGGGACCCCAACCUCUCCCAGAGUGGCCCCAGCUCCACGGCGUCUGCAUGGCUCCAAUCAUGAGCAGAGCAGCCCCGACCUCCGUCCUGACCCAGGGCACCAGAGUGCCACUGCGGAUCUCACCACCAUACAAGCCAGACCUGCUAGGAAGCUCUUCCCUGCCCCACCAGCUCUCGGGCCGAUGCACACAACGGGGCCUUUUGAAUUCCCUGAGGUUAAGGUUCCCCUUGAGUCUCCUGGGCUACAAGCAAAUCCCCCGAGGGGAGAAGUCCAGGCUGACACAGCCUCCUGAACCCCUGCCUUGGGAGGCCACACCUCAUUUGCCUCUAGAACAGAUGAUUGGGGAGCACUGUUUGCAGAGUUCUCUCUCUCUGGAACGGUGAAGGAAUCUGAAGCCCAGAGAGGGAGAGUGAUGCCUCCUGGGUCACACAGCCCAUUGGGCAGGGCAGGGACAAACGGCGAGAAAAGGACCAGUGUGAGAGGAGAGCCAAGCCCAGCCAAGCCCAGGGUCUACCCACAUCCACACCUCACAGCCACCCGACGGGGAGGGCACCAUUGCCCCUUUUCAAAGGUGAGAAAAUGGAGGCUCAGAGAGGUUCAGCAACUUUUCCCACAGCUACUCCGUUGUAGAACUGCAGUUCCAGGUAUCCCCGAGCUCUCCCUUCCUGAGCCAUCUGCUCCUGCCCUCCUAUCCGAGCCCUGGCCCUCCCAGUCAAAGCAGGGUAGUGGCUGUUCAGAAGCCUUGGGGCUAGUCAAUCCCAGCUGUCUCGGACCAGGGCCCCCCAAGAGGAGACCCUGAAGGAUGCAGUUGAGAAUACGUGCUUCCUUUGGGAGGUGAUCUCAGGAAUUGCAGGGGAAAGAGGGGGAGCGUGUUAGUGACAGCUUUCCGGAGAAACAGAACCAAUGCACAGAGGAGAUUUAGGAUGAGGAAUCUGGUUUAUGUGACUCUGGGGACUGAGAAGUCCCACCAUCUGUGUUGCAAGCUGGAAACCCAGGGAAGCCUGAGGUGUGAUUCAAACUCAGCUCAGGUCCGGAGGCCUGAGAACCAGGGCAGCUGAUGGUGGACAUCCAGUCCCGGGGCAAGAGAGGAUGAGAUGUCCUGGCUCCAGUGGCAAGGCAGGAAAUGAGGGGUGAACUCCUCCUCCCUCUGCCGUCUGUUCUAUUCAAGCUCUUGAGGGAUUGGAUGAUGCCCAGCCACUUGGGGAGGGCAGCCCACCUUCCUGAGUCCACAAUUCAAAUGCUGAUCUAAUCCAGAAACACUCUUAUACACACAAUGUGUAGUCUGGGCACCCCACAGUGCACUUAAGUGGACACAUAAAAUUAACCAUCCCAGGGAGUGAGGUGGGUAAGGGAAGAUGGGCCGCAAUGGGUGUGUCUCCAUGCCUGCCACCACUGUGGGGAGCUGCUGGAGCACACGCCUCAAAGUCUUCCCUGAGGGAGAGGGAGCUGGGGUAUUUGUACCCCAGCUCUAUCAGGCAUUGGCUGAAUGUCCACACUCCUGGAUCACCACCUCUCAUCCUCAUGAUGUCCCAUGGUCCUCAUUUCACAAGUGAGCUCUGGGUACAUGGGGAGCAUCAGUCACACCCUGGGUCAGUACCUCAGCUGUCCCUCACAUGAUAUCCUCAUUAUCCACACUGCAAAGCAAACCAUCCCUAUGAUGGGUUCAUUGUGGAUCAUGACUUAGUGGGUCAAGAGUUUGGAAGUGGCUCAGCUGGGCGGUUCUUCCGCUCCAUGUGGCUGCCAGAUGGUACCCUGCUGGUGGGCACUCUGGUCUAGAGGGUCCAUGAUGGCUUUACUCACAUGCUUGGCAUCUUGGCAGGGACAGCUGGAAGGCAAAGUUCAGCUGGGACUCUCCACAGGGCUCCUCCCUGUGGCCUUUCCAGCACAGUGGUCUCAGGGUAGCUGGACUGCUUGCAUGUCAGCUCAGGGCUCCCAGAGCCACUGUCCCAAGAGACAGAAGGUGGAAACUGCCAGUCUCUUAGGCUAGGACCGGAAACCAGCACCCCUGCAUCCACAGCCUUUUGGUAGUGAUGAAAUAAACAUAACAUUUAUCAUUUUAAUCAUUUGUAAGUGGGAUUAAAUACAUUUACAAUAUUGUGCAACCAUCGGCACUGUCUAUACCUAAAACUUUUUCAUCAUCUGCAAUAAAAACUCUGUAUGCA
rnacentral:lncRNA from 1 species